rnacentral:lncRNA from 1 species
UAUGCCCUUGCGUGGACACUUGGACUUUUCAUUUGCGUCUGCAUGGCAUCCUGAUGGUGUCACUUUUGCAACCGGGAACCAAGACAAAACAUGCCGAAUUUGGGAUGUUCGAAACUUGUCAAAGUCAAUUGCUGUUCUAAAGGGAAACCUUGGAGCAAUACGGUCCAUUCGCUACACAUCUGAUGGUAAGUACAUGGCCAUGGCUGAGCCUGCUGACUUUGUGCAUGUGUAUGAUGUCAAAAGUGGGUACGAGAAUGAGCAAGAAAUCGAUUUCUUUGGUGAGAUAUCCGGCCUAUCCUUUAGUCCGGACACAGAGUCUCUCUUUAUUGGCGUAUGGGAUCGUACAUAUGGCAGCCUUCUUGAGUAUGGCCGCAUAUCGGACAUAUGUUAAAAAAUUAAAAAUAGUUUAAAAUAUAUAAAUUAAUUUUAAAAAGUAUGACUUUUUGGACAAGUUCGAGUACCAAUUAAGUAUUUUUUGGAUAGUAUUAACCUUUAAAAAAUUAACAUUGUUAACCAAUUGGGGUAAUGUGUGCGACGUACCAACUAAAUAUUUAACAUUGUUAACUUAAAAUAUUUAAAUAUCAACUAAAUAGUUUUAGACAAAUUCAAAAGAUAAACUACGUACUAACCAUUUACUAUAUGAAUAUAGGGUUGAGCAGAAGUUGGGACAAUAUAAUUUAACGUAUAUUCUAACAUUUUUUUUAAUUUAAGCUUAACGGAAAUAAAAUUCAGAUUUAUUUUUGACAUCUAUAUUCAUUUCAAAAUGAUUUUGUCUCAUUUAUUUUGCUUAAAUCACAAAUGGUGUUUUAAUUAUUCACUUUUUUCUAGUUUAACUUUUUUGCAGUAUCUAAAUUUUACUUCGUUCCUUAAAAUGGUACUUAAAAUAUACUAUUUUUUUCAAUUUGGUACCUAAACAUUUUCUAUUACAAGUGAUACCUAAACUAUACCCCAUUAUCUAAAGUAGUAUUUAAACUAUACUCUAUUGCUCAAAUUACCCGAACUGUUAAAAAAUUCUUCUUAUCCAAACAUGACACUUCUAAAUUAAAAACAAAUUAAAUUUAAUUAAAUUAAAACUUUUCAAUCUUUUUGCACUCUAUUCAUCCCCCACUUUUCACAUAUUUAUUUUGGUAUAAUCAUAAAAGUGUCCUCAUUCAUUUGAGUAUUCAAGUAAAGUUGUUCCAAAAAUGCCGAUUUCCAAAUUCUAAUUUAAUUGCUCGAGCAUAUAAUAUAUUUAUUUUGGUAUAAUUACUAAAAUAUCCCCAUUCAUUUGAGUCUUUUCAACAAUGUUGAUUUCAAAUUUUGAACUUAAUUUAAAUAUCUAUGAAAGAAAUCUGCUUCCACUUCUUCCAACUAUUUGUUGGUGUGGGGAACAUAUUUAUAAUUUUACUAGGAUUAUAUUAUACUCGAACUUGAAAGAAAAUUGGGAAGAAUUUUCACAGUUACUGGCAAUGCAUUUAACAACUUUUUGCAAUCUUUUCUUUCUAGAAAAAAACCCCUCCACAUACUAAAUUAAAUUACACUUUUCACUAUAAUACACUAAUUAUUUAGACAUUUUAACCUAGCUGAAGGUGUCCAAUUUUAAUAUAUAUGGGGAGCUAGAGUAUCAAGUUAGAUUUAAGAAAUAGAAGCUGGAGGAGAGAGAAAAUCAAGUAAAAGAUUGAAAUUAAUAUGACAAAGUAAGAACAUCAAGAUUUUGAUAUAUUUUUAAGUUUGAUAUUAUUGAAAAAGUAUGGAAAUGAUGUUAAUGUAAAGUUUUCGUAUAUAUGGUCCUAUGUUCUUGAUAUGUUAGUGAAGAGAAAAUAAGAGAAAGUGAUGAGAAAUAGUGUAGAGAAAUAAAAUAAGGGUGUUAUAAACAUGGUAAUAAACAUCUUGCACUAAAGUAGUUUUGGACAGCAACAGUAGGUUAACUUUGAAAAAUCACCAUAAAUUAUGGGAAUCGAAUUCGAGGAUGAAAAAAAUAUGGAAUUAAAUAUUAUUAAGUCUAGUUUCUCAUAGAAGAAACGGUGUUGUUCAAGUAACGUCAGGAAGAGCAACUACUGGAGGAGUGGUACGGGAUGGUACUGGUGAUUGGGUGAUUGGUUAUAAUAGAUUCCUAGGGAAUUGUUCGAUUUUUGACGCGGAACUUUGGGGCAUUUUGGAUGGCUUAAAACUCUUCCAACGUAGAGGUCAUAGCAGUGUAGUUGUUCACUUUGAUAGCUUGGAGGUAGUAAAAGCUAUUCAUGGCAAUAUUUCGAAGAUCUCAAACUCUACCCUGAUCAAAAGAAUACAUAGUAUUUUGUCCCAAGAAAGUCAAUGGAUUUAAGAUAUAUGUAAUGGCCCAAAUUUGAGGUUAUCGGAACAGUGGUUUCGGAACCACAAAUUCGAUGAGAAAAAUUUUAUUUUUCUUAUAUUUUUAUGGUCUAAAAUUUCACAAAAUGAUUUUUUUGAAAAUUUCGUUCGAAAAUUUCGACGUUUGGGCACUCAAUUUAGUCAAAAGGACUAAAUUGUAAAAAGUGCAAAAGUUGAGUUCUACAUGUUAGAGGUGUCCAAUUGUUAUGAAACUUUAAAUUGGAGGUCCUUAUAUGGUAAUUAUAUCAUUGGUAACUUGGUAGACAAAAAUAGACAUGAGAUAAGUGAAAUAGAAAAUUUUUAAGUUAGGGGCAAUUUGGUAAUCUAGUAAUUAAAAUGAAUUAAAAGGGAAAAAGAUGGCAAAAAUCAUCAUCUUCUUCAUAUGAACGAAAUCAGCAAGGGGGGAAGCCAUAGUUAGGGUUUUCAAGCUUCCAAGCUCCAUAGUAAGUGAUCCCAAGCCCCGUUUUUAAUGUUCUUUACGUUUUUGAGAUCCCGGUAGCUUAAUUUAGCUUAUUCUAGCAAUAAUUUAACCUAGGGUUUAUAUUUGGAAAAAUACCCAUAGGUGAAAAGUGUUUAUUUUGAUGUUUUAUGAUAGAAAAUGAAGCUAUAAAUUAUGUUAAACAACUUUUGCUAAGCGAUUUUAAGUGAAAACGAGUAAAACGACAUAAUCGGUAAAAAUACCUAAUGUUCAUAAGUACAUGUUAGAGUGGGAAUUUGAUGUUGCCAUAGAAGGGAAAAAUGUUCAGAAUGUUAUAAAACAUAAGAAUAAGAGAUGAAGUUUAAUUUCCGAGCCUUGGGGAAAAAAUGUAAUUAUGUAAAAGUUUAGGGGCAAAAUUGUAAUUUUUAAAAAGUUAGAGUCGAGGGCUGUUUUGAUGAAUGUGAUUAUUAAAUAAGUUAAAUUUACUAUUUUAGAUCAAGAAGUACGAAACUCGAGGUUAGACAAAAGGAAGAAUAAAGUUGAAGACUAAGUUGGUGAAUUUGGCUAUAAUUGGUACCGAGAUAAGUUUACGGUAAAUAAAUGUAAUAUUUCAAUAUUUAUUAUUAAUGUUGUUAAUUUCCAGCAAUUAUGAAUUUCUUUUAUGAAUUUAUUUGAUGAUGAUCCAAGCAUGAAAUGAUAGAGAAUUAAAAUUUAAAAGUCCCGUUGAUACAUAAGGAUGGUACUGGAUACGAAUGUCAUGACAUUUGGGUAAAGAGAUCCCAUGUAAGACCAUGUCUGGGACAUGGCAUUGGCAUCCUUAAGAUCAUGAGAGGUCCCCUGUAAGACCAUGUCUGGGACAUGGCAUGGGCACCGAGACGAGAGGUCCCAUGUAAGACCAUGUCUGGGACAUGGCGUUGGCACCGAGAUGAGAGGUCCCCUAUAAGACCAUGUCUGGGACAUGGCAUGGGCACCAUCACGAGAACAUCCCAUGUAAGACCAUGUCUGGGACAUGGCUUUGGCAUGUUAUUAUCAGAAGAGACCCGAGUAUCCUUAUUAUUCCAAUGUAGCUCAACGGGCUUGUAAACGAAUCAUGUUCAUGAAAGUUCAGUUUAAAGCAUAAAUGGCAAGCUCAGGUAAGUUGUAAGACUUAAGAACUUAUUAUACUAUCAAUUGAUGUUCAACGAUGCAGCAAGGAUUGAGUAAGUUAUGCACACAAGUAUUCUAAGUAAACAAGUAAGAGAACUAGUAUGAGAUUAACUAAAGAGUAAACUAGAGAUAUAGACAUUGAGUUUAAUUAUUUAAGUUAAAUAUUGUUAUUUAUUUGCUAGUAAACUUACUAAGCUUUAUGCUUACUUCUUUUAUUUCUCUUUCUCUUAUAGUAUUGCAAAGCUACUUCAAGGAUCCUAAAGAAGUCGGAGAUCGUCCACACUAUCAACUACAACUGCUCGGUAUUUUAUAUCGAAACACGUUUGAGUUAUGGCAUGUAUAGGGAUUUAGUUAUUUUGUAUGUUUGUAAUGAUGAUUUUGCUAAUGAGUGAUGUGUAAGUAUUUGAUGAUGUAUGGUUAUUAAAAUGAUUAAGGAUGAAGGUGUUUGUUGUUAUGAAAGAUUAGGUGAUAAAUUAUGCAUAGAAAUCAUGAAAGGAUAAAAUUUUGCAAAGAAACAGAAUUCAGGCAGCACAGUGACGUGAAUUUGAAAAAUCACCCAAGAUAGUAUAAAAUGAAUUAGAGGGUGAAUGAUAUAUGGAAUUAAAGCUUGUUGAGUCUAUUUUCAUGGAAAAAUAACGGUGUAGAAAAAGGAAAUUUAUAUUUUAAGAUAUGUGAAUUUUAGUAAGAUAAGGUCAGAACUGUUUUUGGAGUCCCUUGUUCUGAGUUUAGAAAAUAAUUAAAAAUUGUACAAAAAUGGUUAUGAGUUGAAAUUUACAUGCUUAGAUUUCUUAAUGAGUCUAUUUUCUGUAGAAACAAGUAAGAACUUCAUAUGAAAAUCCUACAGUGAGAAAACUUAUUUUUAGUGACUAGAGGUCAGGGCAGUCAGGUGGUGAAACAGGAGAGACUUUAACUAAUAAACUGUACUAAUUUGCUGAACCAAAAAUUCUAAAAAUUUUAUGGUGAGUAGAUAUAUGAGUCUAGUUUCAGGGAAAAUUUACGGAAUUAAAUUUCGAGUUCUGUAGCUCAAGUUAUAAUUAAUUUAGUAACUGCUGCGCGAUUGGACAGAUUUGCUGUGAAUAAUGAAAUAAAUUUUCAAACCUAGUUUUUAUGCUCCGAAUUGGUAAGAUAAGCUAAGUAAUGCCUCGUGCUCGACUCCGGAAACGGUCUCGGGUAAGGGGUGUUACAUUUUAUUGGUAUCAGAGCAGGUUUAGUCGGUUCUCGGAAAUACUCAGUAAGAAUAAGAGUCUACCUAUACAUGCCAUACUUAUAUAUUUUGAUAGUGUGACGACUCCUGACGAUUUUAAAAUGUUUUCUUUUAUAGUUAUGGAUCCUGAACGAGCUAGUACAGAUGAAGUAGAGAGUAAUGCGCCUAUUCCCGCAGAAGGGACGGUGCCAUCAGAUGUUAAUGUUAGUGAAAGACCUGCAUCAGAUAGACAAGGAGGAGGAGCUAGAGAAGCCUUCUUCCAAGCCAUGACUGAUUGGUUUGCCGAGUUCGUUCGUACGAAUCCGGCUGUAAGACCUCCACCCCCUCAAGAUUCACAGGUUCCCCAUGUAGCUUCCCCAGCUACAGGUAUAUUUAUCAGGGAGAGACCACCUGUUGAUAAGAUUAGGAAGCAAGGGGCUGAAGAAUUUCGGGCUACCAAAGAUGACGAUGCAGAAAAAGCAGAAUUCUGGCUUGAGAAUACCAUCAGGGUUUUUGAAGAAUUAUCUUGUACACCGGAAGAAUGUAUGAAGUGUGUGGUCUCACUUCUCAGAGAUUCCGCUUAUCAUUGGUGGAAGACAAAAAUAUGUUGUGUUGAAAUGCCAGAAUGGAGAAUUACUUUGGGUUAAAUCUAAUCAGACAAAAGGGAUUAUCCGAUAUGAUUUCAGUUAUGACAGCUCAGAGGUGUGUUAGAAAAGGGUAUGAUGUUUAUUUGGCGUAUGUGUUGGAUACUAAGGUAUCUGAGUCAAAGAUACAGGCAGUGCCAGUUGUAUGUGAAUUUUCUGAUGUAUUUCCAGAGGAGUUACCAGGGUUGCCACCAGAAAGAGAAGUGGAAUUUUCUAUAGAUCUGAUUCCGGGAACUGCCCCAAUUUCCAUAGCUCCGUAUCGUAUGGCUCCUACAGAAUUAAAAGAGUUAAAGGCACAGUUACAGGAACUUGUUGACAGAGGUUUUGUUCGUCCGAGUCAUUCACCUUGGGGUGCUCCAAUUCUGUUUGUAAAAAAGAAAGACGGGUCUUUGAGAUUGUGUAUUGACUAUCGGCAGCUUAAUAAGGUAACUAUAAAGAAUAAGUACCCAUUGCCUCGAAUUGAUGACUUAUUUGAUCAACUGAAAGGUGCCACAGUAUUUUCAAAGAUUGAUCUCCGAUCGGGUUAUUAUCAGUUACGGGUAAAAGAGCCAGAUGUGCCAAAGACAGCUUUCAGAACCAGGUAUGGGCAUUAUGAGUUUCUGGUUAUGCCGUUUGGACUGACUAAUGCACCUGCAGUAUUCAUGGAUUUGAUGAACCGGAUAUUCAGACCGUAUCUAGAUAGGUUUGUAGUAGUUUUCAUUGAUGACAUUCUAGUUUAUUCACGAGAUGAAAAUGAGCAUGCAAAACAUUUGAGAAUAGUGUUGCAAAUUCUGCGUGAAAAGAAGCUUUAUGCUAAAUUCAGUAAAUGUGAAUUUUGGCUUCGAGAGUUAGGUUUUCUCGGACAUAUUGUAUCCACAGAAGGCAUCAGGGUAGAUCCGAGUAAAAUUUCAGCUAUUGUUGAUUGGAGUCCACCGAAGAAUGUAUCUGAAGUUAGAAGUUUCUUGGGUUUAGCUGGUUAUUAUCGGAGAUUUGUACAAGGGUUUUCUAUGAUAGCUUCUCCAAUGACCCGUUUAUUACAGAAAGAUGUUAAAUUUGAAUGGACAGAAAAAUGCCAGCAAAGUUUCGACCGAUUGAAGGAGUUGUUAACGAAAGCACCUGUGUUGGUACAGCCUGAAUCGGGUAAGGAAUUUAUUAUUUAUAGUGAUGCAUCAUUAAAUGGUUUGGGUUGUGUCUUGAUGCAAGAAGAUAAAGUAAUAGCCUAUGCUUCAAGACAACUUAAGCCACAUGAAAGAAACUACCCGGUACAUGAUCUCGAGUUAGCUGCUAUUGUAUUUGCAUUGAAAAUAUGGCGGCAUUAUUUGUAUGGUGAAAAGUGUCAUAUUUAUACUGAUCACAAAAGCUUGAAAUAUUUGAUGACACAGAAAUAUUUGAAUUUGAGACAACGCAGGUGGCUUGAAUUGAUAAAGGAUUAUGAUUUGGUUAUUGAUUACCAUCCGGGUAAGGCAAACGUGGUAGUUGAUGCUUUGAGCCGAAAAUCUCUGUUUGUUUUAAGAGCUAUGAAUACCCGGUUGUCACUGUCUAAUGAUGGUUCAAUCAUAGCUGAAUUGAGAGCUAAAUUGACAUUUCGUCAACAAAUAUGUGAAGCUCAGAGGAAUGAUGAGAAAUUACAGGCUAAACGGGUGCAUUGUGAGUCAGGUAAUGAUUCAGAAUUUCAGAUUGGAACUGAUGGUUGUUUAUUAUUCAGAGGCAGAGUAUGUGUACCGAAGAAUUCAGAACUUGUACAGAAGAUUUUACACGAAGCACACAGUGGUAUUAUGUCCGUACAUCCGGGAGGUAAUAAAAUGUAUAAUGACUUGAAAAAGAUGUAUUGGUGGCCGAGUAUGAAACGUGAUAUCUCUGAGUUUGUAUCAAGAUGUUUAGUAUGUCAGCAGGUUAAGGCUGAACAUCAGGUACCUUCGGGGUUGCUUCAGCCAAUCACUAUACCGGAAUGGAAAUGGGAAAGAAUCACUAUGGAUUUUGUAUCUGGGUUACCGUUAUCUCCGAGGAAGAAAGAUGCCAUUUGGGUAAUUGUCGACCGAUUGACAAAGUCCGCGCACUUUAUCCCAGUAUGUAUGGAUUAUUCUUUAGAUAAAUUGGUUGGAUUGUAUAUAUCUGAGAUUGUUAGACUACAUGGAGUGCCUGUCUCCAUUAUAUCAGACAGAGAUCCCCGAUUUACGUCUCGUUUCUGGAACAAAUUGCAAGAAGCUUUGGGUACUCAGUUGUAUUUCAGUACUGCAUUUCAUCCUCAGACAGAUGGCCAAUCUGAGCGUGUAAUUCAGGUAUUGGAAGAUAUGCUCCGAUGUUGUGUAUUAGAGUUUCAAGGUAAUUGGGAAAGGUAUCUACCUUUGGUUGAAUUUGCUUACAAUAACAGUUAUCAAUGCUGUAUUAAAAUGGCUCCGUAUGAAUCUUUGUAUGGUAGAAAAUGUAGAAUACCAUUAUAUUGGACAGAGCUUAGUGAAAAGAAGAUACACGGGGUUGAUUUAAUCCGGGAAACAGAAGAAAAAGUAAGGCUGAUUCGAAAUAGUCUAAAAGCAGCUUCCGACCGUCAGAAGUCAUAUGCCGAUCUUAAACGAAGGGAGAUUGAAUUUCAGGUGGGUGAUAAAGUAUUCUUAAAAGUGUCUCCUUGGAAGAAAGUUCUCCGGUUCGGUUGAAAGGGUAAAUUGAGUGCAAGAUUUAUCGGACCAUAUGAAAUCAUAGAAAGAAUUGGACCGGUUGCUUAUCGAUUGGCUUUACCACCGGAACUCGACAGAAUCCAUAAUGUUUUUCAUGUAUCUAUGUUACGACGGUAUCGGUCAGAUCCUUCACAUGUUAUUACUCCUACAGAAGUGGAGAUUCAGCCGGAUAUGACUUAUAAUGAAGAACCAGUUAAGAUAUUAGCACGGGAAACUAAGGAGCUUAGAAACAAAAAGAUAAAUCUGGUGAAAGUGUUAUGGCAAAAGCACGGGAUUGAGGAAGCGACAUGGGAACCGGAAGAGACAAUGAGGAAACAGUACCCAAACCUCUUUACUGGUAAGAUUUUCGAGGACGAAAAUCCUAAAAGGGGGGAGAGUUGUAAUGGCCCAAAUUUGAGGUUAUCGGAACAAUGGUUUCGGAACCACAAAUCCGAUGAGAAAAAUUUUAUUUUUCUUAUAUUUUUAUGGUCUACAAUUUCACAAAAUGAUUUUCUUGAAAAUUUCGUUCGAAAAUUUCGACGUUUGGGCACUCAAUUUAGUCAAAAGGACUAAAUUGUAAAAAGUGCAAAAGUUGAGUUCUACAUGUUAGAGGUGUCCAAUUGUUAUGAAACUUUAAAUUGGAGGUCCUUAUAUGGUAAUUAUAUCAUUGGUAACUUGGUAGACAAAAAUGGACAUGAGAUAAGUGAAAUAGAAAAUUUUUAAGUUAGGGGCAAUUUGGUAAUCUAGUAAUUAAAAUGAAUUAAAAGGGAAAAAGAUGGCAAAAAUCAUCUUCUUCAUAUGAACGAAAUCAGCAAGGGGGGAAGCCAUAGUUAGGGUUUUCAAGCUUCCAAGCUCCAUAGUAAGUGAUCCCAAGCCCCAUUUUUAAUGUUCUUUACGUUUUUGAGAUCCCGGUAGCUUAAUUUAGCUUAUUCUAGCAAUAAUUUAACCUAGGGUUUAUAUUUGGAAAAAUACCCAUAGGUGAAAAGUGUUUAUUUUGAUGUUUUAUGAUAGAAAAUAAAGCUAUAAAUUAUGUUAAACAACUUUUGCUAAGCGAUUUUAAGUGAAAACGAGUAAAACGACAUAAUCGGUAAAAAUACCUAAUGUUCAUAAGUACAUGUUAGAGUGGGAAUUUGAUGUUGCCAUAGAAGGGAAAAAUGUUCAGAAUGUUAUAAAACAUAAGAAUAAGAGAUGAAGUUUAAUUUCCGAGCCUUGGGGCAAAAAUGUAAUUAUGUAAAAGUUUAGGGGCAAAAUUGUAAUUUUGAAAAAGUUAGAGUCGAGGGCUGUUUUGAUGAAUGUGAUUAUUAAAUAAGUUAAAUUUACUAUUUUAGAUCAAGAAGUACGAAACUCGAGGUUAGACAAAAGGAAGAAUAAAGUUGAAGACUAAGUUGGUGAAUUUGGCUAUAAUUGGUACCGAGGUAAGUUUACGGUAAAUAAAUGUAAUAUUUCAAUAUUUAUUAUUAAUGCUGUUAAUUUCCAGCAAUUAUGAAUUUAUUUUAUGAAUUUAUUUGAUGAUGAUCCAAGCAUGAAAUGAUAGAGAAUUAAAAUUUAAAAGUCCCGUUGAUACAUAAGGAUGGUACUGGAUACGAAUGUCAUGACAUUUGGGUAAAGAGAUCCCAUGUAAGACCAUGUCUGGGACAUGGCAUUGACAUCCUUAAGAUCAUGAGAGGUCCCCUGUAAGACCAUGUCUGGGACAUGGCAUGGGCACCGAGACGAGAGGUCCCAUGUAAGACCAUGUCUGGGACAUGGCGUUGGCACCGAGAUGAGAGGUCCCCUAUAAGACCAUGUCUGGGACAUGGCAUGGGCACCAUCACGAGAACAUCCCAUGUAAGACCAUGUCUGGGACAUGGCUUUGGCAUGUUAUUAUCAGAAGAGACCCGAGUAUCCUUAUUAUUCCAAUGUAGCUCAACGGGCUUGUAAACGAAUCAUGUUCAUGAAAGUUCAGUUUAAAGCAUAAAUGGCAAGCUCAGGUAAGUUGUAAGACUUAAGAACUUAUUAUACUAUCAAUUGAUGUUCAACGAUGCAGCAAGGAUUGAGUAAGUUAUGCACACAAGUAUUCUAAGUAAACAAGUAAGAGAACUAGUAUGAGAUUAACUAAAGAGUAAACUAGAGAUAUAGACAUUGAGUUUAAUUAUUUAAGUUAAAUAUUGUUAUUUAUUUGCUAGUAAACUUACUAAGCUUUAUGCUUACUUCUUUUAUUUCUCUUUCUCUUAUAGUAUUGCAAAGCUACUUCAAGGAUCCUAAAGAAGUCGGAGAUCGUCCACACUAUCAACUACAACUGCUCGGUAUUUUAUAUCGAAACACGUUUGAGUUAUGGCAUGUAUAGGGAUUUAGUUAUUUUGUAUGUUUGUAAUGAUGAUUUUGCUAAUGAGUGAUGUGUAAGUAUUUGAUGAUGUAUGGUUAUUAAAAUGAUUAAGGAUGAAGGUGUUUGUUGUUAUGAAAGAUUAGGUGAUAAAUUAUGCAUGGAAAUCAUGAAAGGAUAAAAUUUUGCAAAGAAACAGAAUUCAGGCAGCACAGUGACGUGAAUUUGAAAAUCACCCAAGAUAGUAUAAAAUGAAUUAGAGGGUGAAUGAUAUAUGGAAUUAAAGCUUGUUGAGUCUAUUUUCAUGGAAAAAUAACGGUGUAGAAAAAGGAAAUUUAUAUUUUAUGAUAUGUGAAUUUUAGUAAGAUAGGGUCAGAACUGUUUUUGGAGUCCCCUGUUCUGAGUUUAGAAAAUAAUUAAAAAUUGUACAAAAAUGGUUAUGAGUUGAAAUUUACAUGCUUAGAUUUAUUAAUGAGUCUAUUUUCUGUAGAAACAAGUAAGAACUUCAUAUGAAAAUCCUACAGUGAGAAAACUUAUUUUUAGUGACUAGAGGUCAGGGCAGUCAGGUGGUGAAACAGGGGAGACUUUAACUAAUAAACUGUACUAAUUUGCUGAACCAAAAAUUCUAAAAAUUUUAUGGUGAGUAGAUAUAUGAGUCUAGUUUCAGGGAAAAUUUACGGAAUUAAAUUUCGAGUUCUGUAGCUCAAGUUAUAAUUAAUUUAGUAACUGCUGCGCGAUUGGACAGAUUUGCUGCGAAUAAUGAAAUAAAUUUUCAAACCUAGUUUUUAUGCUCCGAAUUGGUAAGAUAAGCUAAGUAAUGCCUCGUGCUCGACUCCGGAAACGGUCUCGGGUAAGGGGUGUUACAAUAUAUCCCAGGGAGGAGAAUCAAUGUGCUGACUAUCUUGCCAAAUUGGCCUUUGAAAGGAAAAAGGAUUUACAACUGGUUGAAACCCUCCAGAUGCAGUGUUAGAUUUCCUUAAUUGAAAUAAAGAAAGGAAUUUUUAUACCUCUCGAAUAUUUCAUGUAAUUUAAUUUUGUUAUGCUUCUUUUCACAAAAAAAAAUUGGAUCGUUUAGUUUUAAGUGGUAAAAUGACUAAAAUACCCUUAAGGUUAAAUCCUUACAAAUAGUUUUAAAAUGGUUCACAAAUCGCUUCCGCAAUAAGAUUAGAAAGUUAUUAGUUAGAAUUGAGGUGUUAUAAGGUUGGAGUGUCUUUUGGGGUGGUUUUGUGCUAGAGAAUCACUUUGGUGGCUAAUGUAUCACUUCAGAUUCGGGUCGGUCCGUUCCGGUCGGGUUUAGGGUGUCACAAAAUUCACAUCUCAUAAAAUUAUUUCAAAGGAAUAAUUAAUCUUAUAUAUAUACUUACCAAAUAAUACAAUGUAUAAAAGCAACGUUUUUAAAUAGUUUAGAUUAUAGAAACACAAAUCGUAAAUUUCAAGUUAUUCCUCGUUGACCUUAUCUUUUCCUUUCUUUUUCAAGUAUUCCGAAACAACGUUAGCUAUGGAUUGAAAUAAUUAAAAUAAAUUAACAAUACAAAACCCAAUUCACAUUCAAUUACAAAAUUUGUACUAUUUUUGCAUAAAGCUCGAUUUAGUCCCUAAAACUGAAACUAACUUAACUUCCACAUUUAACCUCAAAUUUUUAUACCAAUUUCACUCUAAUCUAAAUUUAGCUCCCUAUUUCUCAGUUCUACCCCAUAAUUUUGAAUUUUCAUAAUUUGGUCUCUAUUAUUUAAAAUCAACAAUUAACUUCACAAUUGAUAAAAAAACAAUUAACUUCAUAAUUUAGUCCUUUUUCACUUCUAACCUAAAAAUCUAUCAAAUUAAUCCCUAAAGUUUUAACUACUCAAUAAUGAUAGCAACUAAAAUCUUAAGCAGUACCGAAAAAUAGUACAUAGGUCAACUAACUCGAAGUACCGAGAUUUCAAAAAUAUAAAAAUUACAAGGAAAUGACUAAAUUGAGCAUACCAAUUUUUGAGCUUGGAUAAUGAAGUCCUUAGCCGUUCGUCAUUUCCUUCUUCCUAAGGGGUUUCGAAAUUUGCAUGUGAAAAGAGAAGAACAUUUUCUCUUUUAUCAUUUUCUUUUUAAUUUCAUUCUGUUUUCAAUUUAUAAAUUAAACCUUAAUUUGACUAAAGCUUUUAAAAAUAAAAUACAUAUAUAUCGGCCACACAAAUCUAUACAUAUAAUUAUGGUUUAUUCACUUAAUAAGUCCCCUAAUCAUAAUUUGAUUCCUAAUUUCAUUAUAGUUCAACUUCUAACACUUAAUCAAUUUAGUCCUUAUAUUUAUUUGAAGCACCAAUUCGAUAAAAUUUCUUAACCAAAAUUUGAUUUGUCUCUAAUAUAACUCCGUAAAUAUUUAAUAAAAAUAUUUAUGAGUCUAGUUUACGGAAACGAGGUCCCAAAAUCACACUUUCCGUUACCCCUAACUUUCGAGUCGUUACAAUUAACUUAAAAUGAUUAAAAAUAUUAAAGAAAAGCAACAAUAAUUAAAUUGAAAUGAGGCGGGGAUGAAAACAUCCAACAUUCAUAGAUAUAGUAAUGUUUUCAAGAUUAUAAAUAUAUAGUAAAGCGGGCUGAUUGACGGAGUAGAGUGCGCUGACUAUGGAGCAAUGAUAGAUUUAACAAUAAUUACCUGCCAGCUCCAUUGUCAUUCCUAAGUAUGGAUUUAUUACUUUGUAAAAAAAGAAAUCACUUUAGUUAGUUUCAACAGAGUUGGUGUAUAGUUAAGUAUGUAUAUAUAUAUAAAUGUAAUUUUGAUGUUAAUUAGUAUGGUUUCCACUCAUGCUUCGCAUUGGAUUAAUUAUUAUUAUUUGAUUAAAUUAUAGAGUAAAAAAUUUAAAGGUAACAAUAAACUCAAAGUUCUUGUACUCUUUGUAUAUUUAAAAUUUAAUCUUCAUACUUCUAUUUUUAGGAAUUUAAUCUCUUUACUUUUUGAAUUUAAAAAUUUAGGUCCAUUCGGAAUAUAUAAAACAUUUAGACUAUCUAAUGGAGGUAGUAAACUAUGCCAAAAUUAAAGUACAGAAAUUAAAUUUCAAAUUUAAGUGAAAAUAUACUAUUUCUAUAUUAUCUCAAAAAUGUAAAAAUAAAGGGAUUAAAACUGACAGCUUGUUUGGUUUGGUGUAUUGGUUAAGCCAAUACACCCUUAAUCGGUGGGCCCCACCUAAUACCUCUCUAACACGUCGUUUGGUUUGAUGUAUUGGUAAUACGCAUCUAAUCCAUUACCUUCUUAAUCGGUGAAAACCACCGAUUUCUAUUCCCCCCUCUUUGCCCAGAUUAGCUACCGAUUGAGCAUCACCUCCCUGAUUUGCCCUCCCCCCAUCCCCUUGUUUCUCUUCUGUUCGUUCAUCCGAUUUCCUUCCUUAUUUCUUUGCUUUUGUUUUCUUCCGAUUUCCUCCCAGUCCAUUAUGCCUCUUUGCUGCCGAUUUGUUCCCUCCGUUUCCUUUCUUUUCUUUUUCGCUCUGCCACUCUUUCGAUUGCCUUCUCAACCAGUCGACCUUCUUCUUCUCAACCAGUGAAACCAAAAAAGCCGACGAUAUCCCCACUGUCACCGUAGCAUCGCUGGUUCUAUCGUCGACAACGCUCAGUCUCUCGAGCUCGCCACUCGAGUAAUGGAAAAUCCCUCUGUUUCUCUUCACUCUUUCUACCCUAUGUUACAAAUUUUCAUUUAAUUUCUCCUUUUUCUUUCAGUUGGCAAGUCAAAUUGCUCAUGCUGCUACUAUUUUUCGGAUCAAUGAGUUUUUUUUAACCUAAUUUCUUAUUUGUUUAAUGGUCUAAUUAUUGUUUUAGGCCAUCUAUUAUGCUGAAAUUUGGGAUGUUGCCUCCACUUGAUGCUCCACAUCAUCUGCGUAAGCAUGAGUGGGCUCCCUACCGGGAAGGUAAAGUUUGGCUGCUGCCUUUUGUGAUUGUUAUAGGUUUCUUACUAGGUCUAUAAUUGUUAAAAGGUGAAUUGUAGGAAGGAUAGAUGCGGACAGAUAAAUUGGAUUAUUUUUACUUUUUUGUUGAAUUAUUUUCACUCUUGAAUUAUAAACUUCAUCUUGUUUCCUUGUUCUUGCUGGUAAUUCACAAUUAGUUCUUGUGUAGCCCUGUAUAUGGUUGCUGUAGAAAGACAAAGACAGAACAGAGAUCAAAUGAUGGCAGAAAGUUUAAAGGCCAUGGAAUCAGAAGGUAGUGGUGAGCGAGUUUGAGCAUUGACAUGUUUAAAUGUUCAUAGGUUACUUAUAACAAACUUGCUAAUGAGCUUCCCCAACACUUCCUUGUGUUCUUACCUUUUGUGUGGAAGUCUUGUGAUGUGUGGGUUGCAAAGAUUUUUUUUCACCUAUGGUAAAUGGUAAUAAUUUGUUUGUUGUUGAGUUUCGAUGGAUGAAUAUCUAAGACUGAUGAUGAAUGUUCCGCUUUGAGAACGAAAAAUAAAUGAUCAUCUGCCCCCUUUGUUGGGCUAUCGAUCUUUUGCAUCUUGGUAUUGCAUAGAAUUGUUAGAAACUCUCAAAGAAUACAAACUCGUAAUGUGGCAAUGAAAAUAAAAACCAGUAUCUUUUGAGAUGAUCCUAUCUCACUGUCUGUAUUCAUUUGAGCUCGUUCUUAGCCACAGCCUCAAACCAUUAGUAAAUGCCAGAACUGUGUCCUACAGUCCCCCAUGGAUGAAGUUGUCUUCCUCCUAGGAGAGUUUAAUAUAUUUACUAUUUACCAUUUUCAUAUGUUUGGAAUGUAAGAAAAUACAAUGCAAGCUCAUGCAAAUAUAAUAUUUAUGCAAUUAACAACCACAAAUUAGGAGAAUCAAUUGUAAUAAACUUCAUGAAAUCCUUUUCUUUGUUUACAAUUCGUGCUACUACCUACAUGUUAGAAUCUGUGAAUCUGUGAACCUAUGAAUCUCGUUUCUUUGGUGAGGAUGAACCAGAGGGGAAUCCAAAGAAAACCGUGAGCUUAUAAGGAAUAUAAUUCAAGCACUUCGCAUAUGAUUUCCUCAUGCAUUCAGUUAUGCAAAGCCCAAAUAUUAUUAAUAUUUCACUUUGUUGUUCUCUUCUCCGUAUACCUGCAGUUAUUAUUAGACAAUUACUGUGCUAUUGUGUCAUUCUCUUAUAACAGACACAGUCACAUAGAUGAUCUUUGUAAGUCAUCCUUCUGAAAUCUAGAGAUAGUCAAAUGGGAAAGAGUCGUAGGCAGUCUAAGAAGAGGUGUACAAAACCGACUCAGAGUUUCAUUAGAAACUGCCAAUGGUGCGUCUGGAUUUAACCUUAGCUACUGGUUGCAACUCUAUGUCAUUGAAUGUACUAUUGCGGGGUUCAUGCGUAUCAAUCAAAUGGUGGUAAUCUUCCUCGACUGAUGUUAUUGUGUUUGUAUCUGUCAUUAUGAUUGAGCAUGUUUCUGUGUCUAUGUUACCGUUGCAAUGGGAACUAACCAAAACUUGGAUUAUGGUAAUAAAAUUGUUCUUAUACUAUUUCAUGUUUCAUGUUUCAUUGUUAUGUAAUUGUUUUUCUGAAUUGUUUUUCUGAAUUUAGCUGAUUGCAUUGAUUGUUUUAAUUCAUAGGAUCAGUGAUGGACAUCAUUCAGCUUCAUUGUUUAGUUUCUGGCAUUGGUGCUCAUGACAUAGGCAGAGUAAGUAGAGAUUCCCUUCUGCUGAAAACGAGGAACAAGUAAGCUUUUGAUUUCUUCUGCUGAAUGCUUGCUUUAUAUUGUAGUUGAACUAAGAUCUUGAGGCAGUACUGCAACUUGUCAACAAAUAUGUCUUCUGGUUUUUGGUGCUUUAGAGGAAACAUGUGCUCUUGGCAAUUUAGCCUUCCUGGAGAGGUAAAUUACUUUUGAUUCAUUGUGAUUUUUUAGCAACCUUACCUCAUGGCCUUCUAUUUCCUGAUUUAUCAAUGCAUCAUAUAAAUCCAGAAUUGGCAGAGAUUGCUUUUUCCCUUAACUUGUGGAAUGGACACAUGAAGUUGGAGGUUAUUUUCAAUGGCAACUUUAGACAGUAUUCGUUUUCCUGCUAGAUUGGUGAGCUAUUUUGUUUGAAGUGAAGAAUCGGUUUCAUGGAAGGCCAAUUGGAGUUGAGAGCAAGGUGAAAGAGAUAUUGUAUCAGCUUGAAUUUCUUCUAUUGAAUGCUUGCUUUAUAUUUUUAGUUGAAGUGAGAUAUUGAGGCAGUACUUCUGUUUAAUUCAGAAUUGUUGUAAAUUCAAUCGAGUUCUUGAUGAUAAUUCGAUAUGGUUAUGUUUUUUUUUUAUUUUUUAGAGUUCAAUUCUUACUUAUUAAAUUUUAUUAGUUAUAAUUAUUUUAAAUUUUAUUAAAUCAUAUAUUUUAAUUAAAAUAUAUUUAAUAUUAAUUAUUUCAAAUUAUCUUUUAUAGUAUCAUAUAAUAUAUUAUGAUUUGAGUAAAUUCAUAUAAGAAUAUUAAUUAUUAAGAAUUUUAUUAAAUUAUAUAUUUUAAGUAUAAUAUAUUUAAUAAUAAUUAUGUUUAAAUAUGAUUAAAUUAUUUAUUAUUCAUAUUAAUAAUCUUAUCAAAAUUUAAAUAACAAUAACAAUAAUAAUUUACCAAAACAAAUUUCUGGUAAUUAUUAAGAAUUUUAUUAAAUUAUAUAUUUUAAUUAAAAUAUGUUUAAUAAUAAUUAUGUUUAAAUAUAAUUAAAAUAUUUAUUAUUGAUAAUAAUAAUCUUAUUAAAAUUUAAAUAACAAUAACAAUAAUCAUUUACCAAAAUAAAUUUAUGCUAAGAGUAUUCUAGUCAUUUUAAUUUUUUCCACUAUGCUAUUACACCUCUAUUCCAUUCAACCAAACACAAGAUUACUAUUACGCAUCUAUUCCAUUACAUUCAACCAAACAGUUAAUUUACUAUUACACCUCUAAUCUAAUACACUUCUAAUCCAAUACACCUCUAAUCCAAUUCAGCGAACUAAACUAAACGCACUCUGAUAUUUAACCAUUAUCUUAUGUAAGAAGGCCCUAAGUCAUUCCAUUUAUACGAGUAUAGAUAUUUUGAUCUGCAGAUCGUCGGUAAUCACCUUCCCGUAAGAAUCUCUUACAUUUUAAAAGGUAAACUCUCUCGCUUUUUAUUUUUUAUUUUCUUGAUCGCUUUCGCAUUCUUCGAUCUCGAGUCAGUUUUCUUUAUGUGAUCAUUUCUGUUUAUCUCUUCAUUGGUGCGUACGGAUGUUAAUUACUUUCCUAUAACAAUUUCGGAGUUUGCCCCCGUUCUUUUUAAUUAAUUGUUUUUUUGUUGAUGGAUAACAUUUAUUAUUCUCAAUUGAUUGUUCCCUGCUGUUGUUGCAUGAUUGUUAUGAUCCGGGACAUUAAAUUUUGGUUGGAAUUUCAAUUAGGGUUCAUACUAAUCAGCCCAGUUCUUGUUUGUGCCAUUUUUUCCUCUUUUUACCAGUAAUUGCGUGUUUCAUUCAUGGACACAUAAUUCUCAUGUAUAUAAAUUUGAUCAAGACUUGGCUUUUUUGUUAGGCCCCAACAUCCAGAAGGAUGAAUAAUUCCGCAAAUGGGAAUGUAAAAUAGAAAGAAAAAAAAAGCUCGAUCUUUUUAUGAGACAAAAGUUCCCAAAUCUGGAGACAAAGUUGUUUUACUCUUGCUUUUCGGAUAUUUCAUGCUUGAAUAAAAACGCAAAUCUCUUAUCUGUCUUAACAUGAUUAUGGCAUAAUUGAAUUGAAAAUGUUGCAAAAAUAACUUCAAAAUGUAGUUAAUUUCUCGAAAUUACUUAUGGCGGCAUUGACUUGUGCACUCUCAGUCUUUAAUUAGUUUAUCUAUAUGCUGAUGGAAGUAUUUCGUACAUGUUGAGAAUUGGCAUAAAACUGUUACUAUUAUAAAGGAUUUGUGAUUCUAUGGGCAUGUUAUUUUAGAUAUUUGUUUCCAUCUCCCUUUCUUUUUCCUUUAGCUGGAUUCCUAUGUAUAAGAGUAGGUUUGAUUUUCUUUGUAAUGUGACUAGGAUGAGGUUUUAGUAUCCUUUACUACCACUUGUACAAUAUCCUUAAAUUAGACUGUUGGAUAAUUUAAUUAUAAUUAAUGUUAAUCCUUUUUAUUGUCUUAAACAUAUCAUUGUUUAUAUUGUAACUUGUAUCAGUUGUUGCGGCAGUACAUGCCAUGUUUCUUUUCCCUAUGAUUUUAAAUGUCGUCAUCUGAUCAAUUUUGAUCAUCUCUUCACCAGUGUACGUAGCACAGAGUUUACUCCUUAGAAAUCAAUGAGAAGAGUAUCUUCCAAUUAAAUGUUGUGUGAUUCUCUAAGGGUAUUUACUUUAUAAUUGUUGGGUUACUAUAGUGCUUGAAGCUACAUUGGUACAGGUGUAGUUUUUUCUGGUGGAAUAUGUCCUAUUACCAAGAAGAUGAUGCUGAAUACAUGGCAGAGGAGUAUGACAUGGAGGACAUAGAUGACAUGGAUGAAGAGUUCUGCGGCAGAGAUAUGUCUGGCUCGGAGUCUGAUGUUGAUGAAUAUGAUUACUCGGUUUGUUUGAUGAUUUACAAGAUGCAAAUUGGACUUAAAUUAAUUCAUUCAUAACUUAGGCAAACGUAAAAUAAGUGUUUUUUAUUUUUUAAAAUUGGGAUAAAUCUCAAAACUAUACAUCAACUUUGAACAAAUGUGCAAUGUUAAUACAUAAAAUUUGAUUUUGUGCAAUUUUAUACUUGAAAUUUUCAUUUGAUUCAAUUUUCACAAAUCAUUAACAUAAUUAUAAAUAAAGAGUUACCUUACAAUUAUAUAUUGCAUAUAUAAAUAAUUAUUUUUAUCUAAUAAAUAAAUAAAAUUGAUAUAAUUAUUUUUUAAAAUGUGUACUGUUGAAUCAAAAUCAUAGUUUUAAGUAUACAUUUCAACUUCAAUCAAAGUUUCAUGUGUAUGAUUGUAUCAAAUCAAAGUUCAUGUAUCAAAUUUGCACAUUAGGUUGAAGUUAAUGUGUAGAUUUUGAGAUUUAUCCAUUAAUUUUUUUUUAAAGUUUCUGUUCUAGUUCUCAUGGAUUGCUAGCCAGCCUAACAUAAGUUGACGGUAUUGCAGAAUAAUAAAAUAUCUGAUACUUCUGCUGCUGAAGCUAGAAGAGGAAAAGACAUCCAGGGAAUACCUUGGGAUCAGCUAAGCAUCACUAGGGAAAAAUACAGGCAAACUAGGCUAGAACAGUAUAAGAACUAUGAGAAUAUCCCCCACUCUGGGGAAGUGUCAGGGAAGGUAAAAGUACUUAAAAGUUGCCCGCUUUCCUUCUAAAAUGUGCUAAAUUGAAAUUUCAAUUUGUAUGUAGGAUUGCAAGAUUACCAAGAAGGGUGCAUCAUACUAUGACUUCAGGCUAAAUUCAAGAUCUGUGAAAUCAACAAUACUUCAUUUUCAGGUUAGCUGAAUGGGAAUUUUCAUUCAAGACCUGUGAUGUCAUAGAAGGAUUUGUCUUUUUCUUGUUAAAAUUCUUUCUCAUAUCUUGUAGUUGUACGGCCAGUCCUUUCCUCUUUUACUGCUUGACUGUGGUGUGAUCAUUAUUGUUAGUGAUAGACAUAUCAAUUUGUGGUGAUGCAGUUGAGGAACCUGGUAUGGGCUACAUCAAAACAUGAUGUUUAUCUCAUGUCACAAUUUUCUGUCAUGCAUUGGUCUUCAUUGACACACAAGAAGCGUGAAAUUCUUAAUGUUUCUGGGCAUGUGGCACCAUCUGAGGUCUGUGCUCUGGCAGUGAUUUGGCACUUUAUCUGACUUGUUGGUCUUCUUCCUUUUCUUUUCUUGUUAUCCCCCCAUAUUGUUUCCUCAGAUUGAUUUGCGUGUUUUUCCCUUUUAGAAACAUCCUGGAAGUCUGAUGGAAGGUUUUACGCAAACUCAAGUCAGUACUCUUGCAGUAAAGGAUAACCUGCUAGUUGCUGGAGGAUUCCAGGGUGAACUAAUAUGUAAGGUAAGGAAAGCAACUUUUUUCCUUUCAAUCCUUCAUUGACAAAAAAGAGGUCAGAAAGAGGGAUAAGCCUUUGUGUAGUGAUUGCGGAGCUACUUUUCCAUGCAAUGUAGCUACUUUUCAGUUUUUGCAAGUCACUUGAAGCCUAACAUUUAUAUCUUAACUGUUAUAGACAAUCUAUUGUUGGACAUAUCUGUGAUCCUGUAAGAUGGAUCUGAGUAGAAGGUUCUAUUAUGCAUUUUAGAGCUAAUGAUUUUGCGCUCAUUCUGUUCCAAACCUUAUCUACUUGUUUGUCUUGUUUUGAACUACUUACUGCUUAAAACUUUGUGAAUGACAGGUAAAAAAAUGUAUUUGGAUAGUUUCUUUUUUCCCCUUAGCUCUUGGUUGCUGUUUUCCUGAUGCCAGUUAUUUAAGAAUUAAUUAGUCGAUUUUGAUCUGUAAUGUAGCAUUUAGAUCGACCUGGAAUAAGCUUCUGCUCCAGGACAACUUAUGAUGACAAUGCCAUUACAAAUGCCGUUGAGAUUUAUGUCACUCCAAGGUAUUUCUUGUUUCCUGAUCUGCUGUUGACAUUGAUCUCAGUCAACCUGAACCUAAUUUGCUUUGUUCCUGAAUUACCAGUGGCGCAGUUCACUUUACGGCCUCAAAUAAUGACUGUGGAGUCAGAGAUUUUGAUAUGGAGAAAUAUCAGCUUUCCAAGCAUUUUCAUUUUCUUUGGCCUGUCAAUGUAAGUUACAUACAUUAGGAUUUCAUUGUUUCAGAUCUGUAAACAUACACUAAUGUUAUUUUGUGUAUUAUUAAUUCUGAUUCUGUUAAUCCAAUAAAGGCAAAUGGUGAGAAAUACUUAAAAGUUAUGCUUGUAAUGUUGCUUUUGCAGCAUACUUCUCUGAGCCCUGAUGGGAAACUUCUAAUAAUAGUUGGAGACAACCCUGAUAUUAUGUUGGUAGACUCUGAUACAGGGAAGGUACUUGUCAUCCUGCUUUUGCAAUAUUGUUUACAUUUUUGGAGAUUGCAAAGCAUCAGCUGAUACUGAAAUUAAUUGCAGACUGUUAUGCCCUUGCGUGGACACUUGGACUUUUCAUUUGCGUCAGCAUGGCAUCCUGAUGGUGUCACUUUUGCAACCGGGAACCAAGACAAAACAUGCCGAAUUUGGGAUGUUCGAAACUUGUCAAAGUCAAUUGCUGUUCUAAAGGGAAACCUUGGAGCAAUACGGUCCAUUCGCUACACAUCUGAUGGUAAGUACAUGGCCAUGGCUGAGCCUGCUGACUUUGUGCAUGUGUAUGAUGUCAAAAGUGGGUACGAGAAUGAGCAAGAAAUCGAUUUCUUUGGUGAGAUAUCCGGCCUAUCCUUUAGUCCGGACACAGAGUCUCUCUUUAUUGGCGUAUGGGAUCGUACAUAUGGCAGCCUUCUUGAGUAUAGCCGGCAGAGGAAC